UACGGAAGGUGCAAGCGUUAAUCGGAAUCACUGGGCGUAAAGCGCUCGUAGGUUGCUUUGUAAGUCAGGUGUGAAAUCCCACGGCUCAACCGUGGAAUUGCACUUGAUACUGCAUUGCUUGAGUUCGGGAGAGGGUAGUGGAAUUCCAGGUGUAGGAGUGAAAUCCGUAGAGAUCUGGAGGAACACCGGUGGCGAAGGCGACUACCUGGACCGAUACUGACACUGAGGAGCGAAAGCGUGGGGAGCAAAC
rnacentral:rRNA from 2 species